CAGUCGCCGCGGGAAUACGUAGGGUGCAAGCGUUAAUCGGAAUUACUGGGCGUAAAGCGUGCGCAGGCGGUUAUAUAAGACAGAUGUGAAAUCCCCGGGCUCAACCUGGGAACUGCAUUUGUGACUGUAUAGCUAGAGUACGGCAGAGGGGGAUGGAAUUCCGCGUGUAGCAGUGAAAUGCGUAGAUAUGCGGAGGAACACCGAUGGCGAAGGCAAUCCCCUGGGCCUGUACUGACGCUCAUGCACGAAAGCGUGGGGAGCAAACAGGAUUAGAUACCCCUGUAGUCCCUGUCUCUUAUCC
rnacentral:rRNA from 1 species